rnacentral:rRNA from 1 species
GCUUGGUUAGUACUUGGAUGGGAGACCGCCUGGGAAUACCAGGU